CGGUUUCGGCAUCGGGCGCACCCUCGACCCCGCCACGCCGCGUGAGUGAUGAAGGCCUUCGGGUUGUAAAGCUCUUGUCGGGGGGACGAUUAUGACGGUAGCUCGCAGAAGAAGCUGCGGCUGACUACUGUGGCAGCAGCCGCCGUAAUAUUA
rnacentral:rRNA from 1 species